rnacentral:rRNA from 1 species
GACGAACGCUGGCGGCGUGCUUAACACAUGCAAGUCGAACGAAGUGGCGAACGGGUGAGUAACGCGUAAUUAACCUGCCCUUCAGAGGGGGACAACAGUUGGAAACGACUGCUAAUACCGCAUACUGAAGGAGGGGAUUGCGUCUGAUUAGCUAGUUGGAGGGGUAACGGCCCAACAAGGCGAUGAUAAGUAGCCGGUCUGAGAGGAGGAACGGCCAUAGUGGGACCGAGACACGGCCCAGACUCCUACGGGAGGUAGCAGUGGGUAAUCUGCCGCAAUGGACGAAAGUCUGACGGGGCAACGCCGCGUGAGUGAUGACGGCGUUCGGGUGGUAAAGCUCUGUUAAUCGGGACGCGGUACCGGAAUAGAAAGCCACGGCUAACUACGUGCCAGCAGCCGCGGUAAUUC